GAGUCAGAGUUCCAGUGAAGGCAGCCUGAGUGAGCUCUGGGGGAAGGGCCCCUCAUCCAGGACUCAGGACUCAGGUGGCAUGGAGGCUGGGCACUUCGCAACUCAGAGUGGCCAUGGAGACGCUGCUCUAGGGAUGCGGACUUGACCUGGCCAUGGUGGGCUCAGGACCUGGAGCAGAGCUGGAGGCCGGUACAGUAAAACUGAACAUGUGCUUGGGAGUCUAUGCCUUGAAGAUGCUGCAGAGUGAAACCUGACAUAGGAGCAGGGCCUCCUCCUCCUGUGAUGGUCCUGCAGUGUCCUCUCUCACUCAUCCAAUCCAGGUGAGCUGCCAGAUGACUGGCCCAGGUGAGGGCCCCAGGUGAGACCAGCAGAAGAACCUCCCAGCUAAACACAGCCCAACCGCAGAAUCACAAGCAAAUAAAUCAUAGUUGUAC